rnacentral:rRNA from 1 species
CAGCAGCCGCGGUAAUACGUAGGGUGCGAGCGUUAAUCGGAAUUACUGGGCGUAAAGCGUGCGCAGGCGGUUGUGUAAGACAGGUGUGAAAUCCCCGGGCUUAACCUGGGAACUGCGCUUGUGACUGCACAGCUAGAGUAUGGCAGAGGGGGGUGGAAUUCCACGUGUAGCAGUGAAAUGCGUAGAGAUGUGGAGGAACACCGAUGGUAAAGGCAGCCCCCUGGGCCAAUACUGACGCUCAUGCACGAAAGCGUGGGGAGCAAACAGGAUUAGAUACCCCUGUAGUCCCUGUCUCUUAUAC